rnacentral:tRNA from 1 species
AUUUAUAUAAUAUAAAAAUUAUAUUUGACUUCCAAUCAAAAAAUCUAUGACUAUAGUAUAAAUA